ACCCUAAGAGAGGGCGACGCUCCUUCCGAAAGGGGCGUGGCUCAGGAAGGCGGGGUCUCUCCCACCUCCGCCCGGGGUCUGGUCUGACAGGCGUUCUAGUUCGGGCUUUCAUUCCUGCCAAGGAGCAGCUGAUCUUCAACAUCCAGCAUGCCCCAAGACCUGCCACUUCUGAGCUGUAUCAGGACACCUGCUGCUUCCUGCUGUGUCUGGUAGACCUGGCUGGUGUGGGCAUGCGCUCUCUACCCGCAUUUCUUGGGAAGACAAUGAAUGGGAAAACAAAUUAAAAAAUGGUACACAAACAUUUCUGUUGACUGUUAACCCAUUUUGGGAGAGCCUCAAAAGUCUUGAACGCAAACUACUUUUACCCAAGAAGAAAUAGAGGCUCAGAGAACUGAAAGGGUCUGCCUCAAAGAACAUGAGGGAAGGAGGGUCAUCGUUAUCAUCUGUCUAAAUUCCAUGCUGCUAAGUUGCUUCAGUCGUGUCCAACUCUGUGCGACCCCAUCGACGGAAGCCCACUAGGCUCCACCGCGCCUGGAAUUCUCCAGGCAAGAACACUGGAGUGGGUUGCCAUUUCCUUCUCCAAUGCAUGAAAGUGAAAAGUGAAAAAGAAGUCGCUCAGUCAUGUCCAACUCUUAGCGACCCCAUGGACUACAGCCUACCAGGCUCCUCCAUCCAUGGGAUUUUCCAGGCAAGAGUACUGGAGUGGGGUGCCAUUGCCUUCUCCGCUAAAUUCCAUAUAUAUGUGUUAAUAUACUGUACUGGUGUUUUUCUUUCUGACUUACUUCGCUCUGUAUGAUAAGCUCCAGUUUCAUCCACUUCAUUAGAACUGAUUCAAAUGCAUUCUUUUUAAUAGCUGAGUAAUAUUCCAUUGUGUUUAUGUACCACAGCUUGCUUAUCCAUUCGUCUGCUGAUGGACAUCUAGGUUGCUUCCAUGUCCUGGCUAUUGUAAACAGUGCUGUGAUGAACAUUAGGGUAUACGUGUCUCUUUCAAUUUAUAGAUGAAUAUUUUAGCGGGCUUUCGAAAAGGAAAAAGUCACAAAGGGCCAUUCACCCAGGCCACCACCUAGGAAGGACCCUGGCUGGAGUCAGCGAGCCACGCCCUCACUCACACUGGGUCUGGUCAGAGUAGGGAGGCGAUGGAACACCCAGAGAUGCCGUGGAGGCACGGAAUAGGGAGGUCCGGUGCAAGGGCGCUGGGCCGUUAAUUAAAGAUGUCCCACUUAGUGCCCUGGCAGGGAGGACUGACACAGUCCGGAUUCGAGCAGAAGCCAGGUGGUGACGACUGGACAGGGCGAGGAGGCUGUAGCUCGUUUCAAAAUGGAAAUGGUCCUAAAGUGGACCCGUAGGGCUUCCGCGGGUUUGCGCUCUAAAACCCUGGCCUGGGGGGCGGGGCGAGGUGGUGCAGGCGGAAGCCCUUCGAGAGGCGAGGGAGGAGACAACGGAAAUGACGCUUAGGCGCA
ensembl:lncRNA